rnacentral:lncRNA from 12 species
AUGGAGGCGCCAGAGCCAGGUCCAGAGGUGUUCUGGGGACGGGAAGGCGGAGAACCAACCAGAAGCCUACAGGUUGAGGUGGCACACCGGGCCCUCAGCUCCAGCCUGAUUUCCAAAGCGAUGACUGAUGUGUGGCAUUACGGAAAACAGCCAUUACAGAGAAAUUGCCGUGGAGAAGGCUGCGGACUCAUUCUGCUGCUGUGCCUAGGAUCCAGGUGACCUUGGGUGAGUACUUUAGCUGCUAUAAGCCUUGAUUCCCUCCUCCAUGGAACGGUGGCCGAGCUAAGGCCUCCUCUGCAGCAGUGUUACAACGAGUCCAGGAGAAAUGCCAAGAGCACUCGACGAACUAUGAUUGUAUCACUCCGGAGCCUCCCUUAUGACGCAACCCGGGAUUCAUGCUGUAUGUCUCCCCAGAAAGGUGACUGCCUUAUAAAAAGGAGUAUGACACUUUGAUAAAUGGGGCACAGUCUCAGGUACAAUAUGGAAGCCGGGAUUCCACUACAUUCUCCUCCAAGGGCCCGAGCAUGGGAUGUCGGCUCAGAUACCCUCCUUCUAAGAGAAGCUGUUGUUCCGUUAGAUCCAGUGGGAAAGGCCUGAAGGAGUAGACCUGGGAGGCCACUUUCUGAAUCAUGUGGCUGUGUCGUUCCCCUCCCCGCCACCACCUCAAGACCUAGAGUGACUGAACCCGAGAAAGACACCUGACCUGAGAUCAGCCUGUCCCCAGGCUGGCCAACAAACUUUCAUUACUUGGAAAUCUGAAUUGGGAAACCUGGAAAGACCUAGGCCAUGGUAGUGGGAUCGUGAGGGUCAUGAAGUUGGGAGAAGGAAACCAUGAGAAACGGGAGUUGCUUGAGGAGGAACAAUGGAGCUGGGCAGCCUGGGUGGCUCAGCGGUUUAGUGCCGCCUUCAGCCCAGGGCAUGAUCCUGGAGUCCCGGGAUCGAGGCCCACAUUGGGCUCCCUGCAUGGAGCCUGCUUGUGUGUGUGUCUCUCUCUCUCUGUCUCUGUCUGUCUCUCUCUCUCAUGAAUAAAUAAAUACAAUCUUAAAAAAAAAGAAAAGAA